UACGUAGGGUGCGAGCGUUUAAUCGGAAUUACUGGGCGUAAAGCGUGCGCAGGCGGUUCGUUGUGUCGGUGGUGAAAGCCCCAGGCUUAACCUGGGAAUGGCCGUCGAAACUGGCGAACUGGAGUGUGGCAGAGGGGGGUGGAAUUCCGCGUGUAGCAGUGAAAUGCGUAGAGAUGCGGAGGAACACCGAUGGCGAAGGCAGCCCCCUGGGCUGACACUGACGCUCAGGCACGAAAGCGUGGGGAGCAAACAGG
rnacentral:rRNA from 1 species